ACAGAGCAGGCUGCCUUUGAACUCACAGAGAUCCACCUGCCCCUGCCUCCGGAGUACUGGAGUUAAAAGUAUGUACCACCCCUGCUAGCUGAACUUGCACUUUCUGGUCCAACCAGCUAGAAUGCUCUCACUUCCGUGAGUACUCUCCCAUUUGGUCUUUAGACAAGGAAAGGAGACAUGCUUUCUAUCCACCAUUGCCGGGGUCAUUGCAUCCUUGGUCACUUACUAACCCCACUCUCAUCCCAACAGACUCAUCCGACCCACUUCUUGUUACUUCAUGGCUGGCGAGUAGCCAGGCUGACCAAUUGUAGGACUUUGGAACUCAAGUGUCCAGUGUUGAGCCACUCCGCCCCUCAGCUAGUGGAAGAGAAAAGAGACUCUCACAAUGGGGUUAUAUGACUAACCAGAAAGACCGAGAUCCAGUUUCUAGUCCUCAGGGACACCCCAUCUAUACCAUCAACUUGGUGUCACCAAGAGGCUCUUUCUAAAACCUGUGUCGGAUGAAUCAAAGGCUUAAAGACAGCCCAGGAUUCGGAGAGGGAUGAUGGAUGGAGAUGGGAGGAGACUAAAAAUCUCCCAUUUCCUAAUGGACAAGUCAGACGCUGAAAGCUGGAAGGAAUUGAAUCAAGGUCCUGGUUCUCCACUGCCCCCAGGUCUAGCCUGGCUUGGAAUUUACUAUGUACUUGGGGCUAGCCUUGAAGUCCUGGCAGUCUUGAGUGUUGGGAUGGCAGGUAUAUACCACCAUACCUGGGAAGACAUAGCUUUGAAUAAACACGAGUAGAAACAAAAGCAAUCUAAGACUACAAGGAUCCCAUGAGGACAAAAGGAAGCAUUUGGAGAAGGCAUGGGAGAGAGCAGUGGCUUAUGGACAGGUAUUUUCAAGGGAGCGUCAGAGGCAAGAGGAGGAAUGAAGUAACAGAAGUGUGUCUGGGUACCGCACUGCAUUCUGGAGUGAGUGCUGCUGGGGCAUAGGGUGGGAGGAGGAGCAGGCUAGAGCUGUGUGUGAAAGUGAAGCCAUUCCACAAAGACUGCAUUUAGUAGGUCAAAGGUUUCAGACUUUCCUGUGAGUAAUAGAGUGAUAGGGAACUGUGGAAGGUCCUAAAUCAGGGGAGAAGUCUGAUGAAGCAUCAGGGAUGGAUAAAUGGAAAAGGGCUUGGGGGGGUAUGCACAGGGGUGACAAAGGGGUCCAUCAAAGGACUGGAAUCCAGCUGAGCAGAGAGGGGCUGUCAUGGGGGUGGGCAAUGGCCACGGACUGAAAGAAGUGGGGUAGAAGGUAUACACUACCUAGGCAUUCCUGAGAGGUUUUGGUGAGGGCCACAGAGCCUCCCAGGUUUCCAGUGAGCUUCUCUGAAGGAAUAACAGAGAGAAGACAAAGGCUAUGAGUUGAACACAGAGCUCGAGGUGCCUGGAGACAUAUGCCUGGAACAGGGAGCAGGUUAGAAUCCCAGUGAAGGUCUCUAGCGGGUAUUGCAAAUAGGGGCAAUUGGCACCAGAAGUGGUUCUGGACGAGCACAGCGCUUCAGGGCCCUAUAGAACGCUUAUGGGGAGCAGCGACAACAGAGGAGUCUAGGGCCAGCAGCACUGAACCCAGACACAGUGACCUGCAAAAACAGCAUGUUCCAAAGAGGAAGUGGUGAGUAGUAAGUGGUAAGGUUGUGGCAAGAAGGAGAUUGGAAAACAGGGGGGAGCGAGGGAGUGCAGAAGAGGGUGGAGCUGAAAACCUGAGAGGCUGUUGCUUCAAAAUGGUUACAAUUUGUUAUAGUCAAGGUGCUAUUUAUUAUUUAGUAUAAAUAGUAUAAAUAAUAUACCAUAGCACUGUAGCAGAUGACAAAUUGCGCCUAUAAUAUAUUUGUUAGUAUUAGGCUGGCGAGAUGGCUCGGUGGUUAGAGGUGCUUGCUGUUAAACCUGAUGACCCAAGUUUGAUCCUCAGGAACCACACGGUAGAAAGAACGAACUUCCGUAAGUUGUCCUCUGACCUCCACAUGUACAAGGGGGUAUACAAGUGAGCACACACACACACACACACAC
rnacentral:sRNA from 1 species